rnacentral:lncRNA from 1 species
UAUCGAAGUCAUUAAUCAAAAGAUUCAUUCCAUUAGCGACCCCAGAUUUUCUCCGGUGUAAGAAUCAAAUGUUGCUUCGUUCAAUUCUUUCAAGUUUGCUGAAAAAUGAAGGCUUCCCCAGUAUCUGGGUUUGUAGAAAUGGAGUAACCACUCUCGCAAGCGCAGAAAACUCAUUUUCUCCAUCCGUUUCGGGAGGGGAAACGCUACGAAAAGGGUAUGUUUUAUCCUACCUUCUAAAUUCAUGUGGAUUGUCACCGGAAAAGGCGAUUUCCGCUUCUAAAUUUGUUCAAUUUGACGCCCCUGAUAAACCCAUCGCUGUUCUCAAAUUCCUCGAAAAACAAGGGUUUACUAGAUACCAAAUCGCCAAUUUAGUCGCAAAAUUUCCUGCGGUUUUAGUAUACGAUCCUCAAAUGUCCCUCUCUCCCAAGUUCGAAUUUCUGCGCUCCACCGGAAUUUCUGAGCUGGAAAUUCCCACCAUUGUAUCGAGAUACCCCGACUUACUAACCAGAUCGUUCAAACGUAGAGUAGCACCUGUUUAUAACUACAUUAAGGGCAUAAUUGGUGCUGCUAAUGCUAAUACUCUUCUAAGGAGAGGGUCUUGGAUUUUUAAUCUUGAUAUUGAGAGUAGGAUUGUACCAAAAUACUCGUGCAUAUUUUGGAGAGAGAAGCUGUUUUUGUUGUUUGUAGCUUGGAACUGAUUAGUUUGGAUGUUGCUACAUAUUCAGCAUGAAUAUAAUUUAUACAAAAAUUCAUGUAUCAGGAUGCUGACUUAAAGAGUGAAUUGGUUCAAAUGAAACACAUAGUGUGGGUAAUACAAACUUAAAUAUGGUUUAGCUGCUGAUUAUAAUUGAGAAGAUAGUACAUUAUUCUACCAAUCUCCACGAGCAAAAUCCUCUGCAAAUGGAUUGCGGGAAUCCUACACAUAUCACAAUUUUGCAAGGCGAUUGUUGAACGUUGGGUCCAUGCAUACAACAACCUGCGAUAGUUAGAAACCAUCAGUAAUCAAUCUGGUAGUUUUGUGAAUGUUUUGACGCGUAUUUUAUUAGCUUGCCGACACUUUGACCAGAGUGAAGAUAGUUAACUGCAUCAGCAACGGAAUGAACUCCCAAGAAUGGUUUAGGGUCGAUAAUGACCUGAUAAAGCAGAAACGAAAAAAAAGGUUGCAGAUUAAUGGAUCUAAUCAAGUAUGCAUUAACAAGAGCUACCUUCAACUUUCUGGAGGUGUACAGAUCCAUUAGCUUAUCUAGAUGUUCUUGCCAAAAAUGUGUAUAUUGUACUAGGAAAAAACCAGCCUAGACAUUUGGAGUCACCAUUAAAACACAUUGAAAAGCCACUUCAAGUCUGCAACUAUCCAAUAUGAAAAUGCAUAGGACUUACCACAGUCUGGCUCUUUGCCAGAAUCUUUUCGCACAGUAGUCAGUUGAAGAUGUCUGCAUAAGAACAUGCUCGUUGUCACGAUGAAGCUUUGGUAGACGAAAUCAUCCGUGGAGAAAUCAGGUAACAGCAGAAUCACAAUCAUUGAUUACUGAUAAGCAUUCAAAUUUGAGUGAAAAUUACAGAAUACCAACAUAUGCUAAGCCUAUUACAAUUUUAUUUAUGGUGAUGAUCUUAUUCAUGUUUCUUGAUUCAUUGUGCCUCAGCAGCGAGCGAAGUCUGCUUCAACAACUCGGAAACUCUCGCGGCCAAGCUCUGCCUCGCAGUAGGCGACACUCCUUGCUUCCCGAUGAUGGACUCGAGAAUCGCCUCUGCUAGCAGUUUGUUCUCUAUCACAGCUUUGCCUUGCUCUGGAAUGGAACCAUCUUUGGAGAAGGCAAUCUGCAGGACAAAACUCUGUUAAAAAUCGGACGUUGAGUCGAACAACAACGGUGGGAAAUGGUUACCGUGAGUGAGCCAGCAGGUGAUUGAGUGAAGAGGAUGGAUGCCCCAGGUGAGAAGCUUUCAUCCUUGAAGACUUGAAGAAAUUCCUCUACUGCUUUGCCCUCUGCGUCUGUGUAUUUCCCAACUGCUUUCCAGUAAGCAGUGCAGUUCUCUGCAACUUUCUCCGAGUAUUGCUGCCCCGUUAGCGGCAGAAUCAUCGUCACUUUCGUCAGUUUCUCAAACGGACCUAACAAAAUUUGUGAUUUUUCAUCAAGUAGUGUUAAAAAUGGUGGCAAACAAUUGCUAGGGCUGUUGCCAUUACCGGCGAUGAUUUCGCGAAUGAAGUCGGCGGAAUCGGCCAGUUCAUCGAUGGUUUUGGCGCUCCACUUGGGCGCGAGCGCGGGGAUGGCGGUGCCCUCCAUGUAGAUGGCGAUGGCGGUGAAUUUGACGAAGUUCCCUUGGAUCUCCAUCCCUCGCACCCCUGCGCACAUUAGCCACGACCGCCGCUCGGAACAAUGAAAACGUGUGAUCGUAAGAUGUGAGAGGGGACUAACCUGCGCCGCCGAGGAAUAACGUCUUGUCGGAGCCCCGUGGCUUCGCUGUGGGUGGGAAUACCACGGAUUCCACUUGGAGCUGUGUGACGCUUGGCGUUGCAGUCAUUUUCUCGCAGUCGGAGUAUGUUGCAGAGUUGAAGGUGAAGGUGAAGAUGAAGGUGGUUAACAAUGGGGUGUAGGGAGCUGAGGUUAGGUUAGUAACGUCACGCUAGGCGAUAGCCACCACGAGUUUUACCUACCAGCCCUGUUCAUUCAUGAAUACUCAUUCAACCAAUUAAAUACUUUGGUGGAAAUCAGCAUUUGUUCAAAUAUCAGAAAGAUUUGAUUCUACAUCAUAAUUAUUCACUGGUACCACUAAUUUUCCAGUUCGGAUCCUCUGUCCCCAUUUUCUGUGCCACUUCAUGUCCCAUCUACAAUAUUACACCGUUUUGGAUUUAAUUUGUUUUCCUUUUCUUUUGCUAACAUUUAAUUAAAUGAUUCGCACCUAUCGGCUCGGCUGGAUGAAGCCAAUAAUCUUCUUCUUCCUCUUUCCUUCUCCAACUAAAUCUACUCAAUUCUCUUUUGGAAAAUUUCUCUCUCCACCGAAAAAUAAGGAUUUAGCUUUGGAUUUCUUCAAGGUAAACUGUUAUUUGCGCCAAUGAAUUGACGGGAUUUAUCCAUGGAUUUCUUUUAUUUUCUAUAGUUCUUCGUGAAUUCUUAAUUAACAGAGUCUGAUGGUCAUUGUCGUUUGAAGAACGAAGUGUUGUGAUUGGCAGAAUUUUUUGUUGUAAUUUUCCUGCCCCAAGUCAUGGAUUCCUUUUCUAUUUUUAUUUUUAUUUUUUUUGUGCUAUUGUGAUUCUUGAUUGAGUGAGAAUUAUUGUGGUGUUCCUGGAAAUUCCUUGUUUGUUAUUGGAGUGAAAAUUAUAAUGGCUGCCAAAGUAUGUAAAUUUAUCGAACAGUUGGUAGACAUGUGAUAACCGACCGUUUUGAUAUUGACGGAUGCUUGAGGAGUGCAACGUCUCAGCUGAAAAAGUACAUAAGAAUAAUAAACACAAACUAGAUUCUUUCAUGAUUUCGCCUUUUUUUUCUUCAUGUUUUUUUCGAAUGAAAUUAAUUUUUGUAUAUGAUUUAGAUGGACAUGUUUCUUCUUUUAUGUGAUACUACAUUUGGAUUGAUCAAAUUAAUUUUUGUUAUAUAUAUCAUCUGUUAUUUUAGCUGAAAAAUAAAGGAAGCAAAAGAGAAGGAAAGACAUGGAUAUGUUCAAGGCUGUUGAGGCUUACCUUCACACAAGUCUGAUGCUUGAAAGCUCAAUACGUAAAGCUAUAUAUAUUGUUGUAUCUUGAUUUGUUGUUCAUUUUAAGUUUAGCAUUUAGCUUUUAGGGUGUGAGUUGUAAGUAGUUGUGAUUUUCUAUUCAAAUAAAAAAGUGUUUCUUAAUUUGUAUCUUGCUGGUCUUGUGUGCUGGCGUGCUCAAAGCAUAAUAAUUUCAUUAUGAU